CAACGGAAAAUAAUUCAACUUGUCAUUUUAAGAAAAAUAUUCAUGUCUUCAACAUCAACAAUGGGAAUGACAAAAGUUUCACAAGACUCUAACUCAAAUGGAAAUUAAAUUUCAACAUUUUAACCUCAACCCUGGUGUUACAGAUCAGAGCAUACAUUCAUCAACUACAUAAGUUCACUAAAUAAAAACAACAAAAUUAAAUCCCCGUCACCACCUCUUACGCGUCCCGCAACUAGAACUUCUCAUCCUGAGUAUUUGUACCCCAUGGAUACAAACACCAUAAAUACAACGACAACAAAGGGGUAAGAAUACACAUCAUAACAUUUAAUUGUGAUACAUUAAUCAAUUACAUAAACACUCAUAUCGUCAUUGAUUUCCAUUCACUUCUUAUUCAUAACUUCAUCUAGAUUACACAUCUUCAACAUAUACAUCAUACACUUAUGAUUAGCAAGUAUCACUACAACAUUUUUUGGCUUUAGUAGUUCUUUUCAUUAGCACAUAAAUCACAUAUGACACAUAUACAUCAUAGGCACAUCAUCAAUACACAUCACAUACACCACAUAUAUCACAUAUACAUCAUAUACACUUAACAUGAGCCAUAUGCAAAUACACUUUGUUCCUAGACCUAUAUGCAGACCGAUACCGGAACCUAUCGUCUUUAUGAUCUAUGCCAGGGUUGUGUUUCUGAACAUACACCUAUCUUUCGUCUUUCGUCUUAAUGCAAUAUGAUAUGAUGCAUGCAGACUCACUAAUCACCAUAUAGAAAAUACAUCAUCAACACGUCAUUCAACAUAUCAUCUUUGCAACAAAUAAUUCAUCAUCGUAUUUUUACUUGUCAUUAUAGAACAAGUAUGUCUUUUGUCUUUAUUCGUCUUAACUACAUCUUUUGUCUUUAGUCGUCUUUAACAAACAUCAUCUAGUUCUUCAUUUAUCAUCAUCUUACAUGAAUUAAUAUAUCACCAUUUACUUCCCAUCUUACAUAUAUAACAUCUCCUUUUUAAUCAACAUAUUAUAUGCAUUCUUAUAUAACGUUUUCAUCCCUUGCUCGUUCAUCCUCACCUAUAGAAUUCCUCACUCCACUUUUACUACACCUUACCCUCUGCGGUGUAUUCUCUGCUUCGUCUUAGUUUUAAUCCCUUACCUCAUCAUUACUUCCACUUAUAAAUUCCUAUCUUCACAUAUUGACUCAUCUUCAUCGUCGUCUAUUACCUUAGGCCACUAACAUCAUAUAUUCGUUCUACUUAGGUAUUUUACUCUUUAAUUUUAACUUAUGUUAUUAGACUCAAUCUUUAAUCUACGGUUCUUCUAUUAUCUUCGUCUCUUGUUUAUGAACUAGUCCUAAAACAAUCCCCCUUUCUUCACUUAUCCCUUAUCUUUUUUCUCAUUUAUCUCACUCUCUUCUAAUCAAUUCCUAACAUGACUCACCUCUCUUACUACCCCUCAUGUCAUUCAUUUACUUCAUACACAACUCCCUAUCUUCAUUUACAUUUCACCUUGACAAUCCCCUUAUCGUCAUCAAAUCUCUAAGUUCGACCUCGCUAUUUACAUCGUUAUGGCCUUGUCUCAUUAUUCAUAAGUAACUCUACAUUCAUCCUUACCGCAACUAACAUCUCUCACCAUAUCCUUUUAUUUCAUCUACUCCUCUCUAUCCUCAUUUACCUACGCCUCAUCGUAUCUUCAUCAUUACCAUUUACCUUGACUCAUUUUCUCUUUAAUUUGCAAUUUUCCUAAGUUCACGCUCUUCACAUAGUCUUGUCGCUACAUUUACCCUUUACUCUAGUUUACUAUUGUUUUCAUCUUUAUUAGUUCACGAGUAAUCCUUUUACAACUCUCUCUAAUUUUCUUAGGGAACCUUUCCUAACUUUGUUUUCGACCCUAAACUCGUCCUAAAUCAUCACCGUAAGAUUACCCUAUCAUUCUGACCCUAAUUUCUCAUUAACCUAUCGGAUUAUCUACUCUUUUUAAGGCCAAUUCCAAAAAUAACACCCUACACUAAUUCUCUUCAAUUCUAAUGUUUCAACAUCAUCAUCAUGCACCUUCAUCGUUGUUUUCUGAUCGAAAUUCACAUCAUAACAACAUUAACAACUAAAGGGCUAAAACAACCCCCCAUCAUAGAAUAAGGUACCAUAAAGUGAAAGCAAUCCCCCUUACCUCGAAAUAUCCAAAUUUGUGGUGCUUGGCUCUCUUCUCCUUAGCUAGGGUUUCCCCCUCUUCUCAAUUCUUUUCUCAUGUUCAACAAGAAUGUUUAUUCUGAUUUUCUAUCUCUCUAUUUAUACUAGAUUAUUGGGCUAUUCACGUAUUAUUAUUUUCCUCUCUUCAACUUACCAUAACUUUACUUCUUCUUUCCCCACUUAUUUUAUUACUUCUACUCUGCACCUCCCAC
rnacentral:lncRNA from 1 species